AUGUCUCUUACAGAACAUGGCAAUAGCUGUACUGGAUGAAAAAGCUGACUGCCUCUGGAAACAGCUGAGAAAAGACUGGAAGCCCAAGGCAGAGACAGCAGCAAAUUCUGGUGUUUUCCCAACACUUUUUCCCAGUUCUCAGUAAUCAGAAGACCUGGAACUUUCUGAGCUUUCCCAGGAGUGGUGUGGUGAGCUUACAGGCUGCUGGAGUUGUUGCAAAAGCCCCGAUUCACCAAAGUGGUGAUCCCCACAGAAUUUCUGAAGGCAGUACAGGGAGCGAUGGCCCUUCAUGAAGGAGGAAUGAUCUUCUAUGAUGGCACAGCCUGCCUGUGUGUCGCCUUUCAAGUGAUUUCCCUUGCUGCUUUCGCUAACACGACUUUAUCCCUGCCGGAGAGGCUGUUGAGCACUGAUGGGGAGAGGUGAAGGCCUGCACCAGCCCUCGCCCGGAGCUGGGCCCAGCCAUUGGAGCAAGGUUGUAAAAGCAGAAAAAUGAGCGUGCAUUGCACUUAGGCUGCAGUCAUUCUGCCUAAACUGGGGAACAUUCUGCAAAUAUUUCAAGUCAAAUACUGCUGGUGCUGUCACUGCUGCCUCGCAGUCACUGGGCUACAGCAGCCAUAGGUUUGCCUCGGUGACUCCAGCUGGGCAGCCUCCCAUUUGGACAAGCAAGACUACCAAAAGACUGCAAAUUGGCCCUGUGAAUAUGCUAAUGGCCACGUACAGGAGUGGGGAGCUCUGCCUGGCUGCCUCCUGGCUGCAGAAGCAUUGCAAAUCUGCUCGCAAUACAACCAUCUUCUGAUCAAGUACACAGCAGAUGUGCCACAAUCUACAAGGGCAUGGAUGGCUGGAUGGAUGGAUGGGCAGUGGCUGUACUGCCAGCCUUCUCCCAGAACAUUCUGUUUUUCUCUUGGUUCUCACACAGCCCUGUGGCAGUCACAGCUUCCAAACAGGACCAUGGGCAUUCCUUGCUCUCCUGAAGGACUUAUCUCAUGCAGGUAUUCAGAACUUCACUGGUAAUCACUCUGACUUAACCUUAGUAAUUUCAGAGACACCUGUACGUGGUGGUAAUAAAGUGUCCUAUGUUUCUCCCUAACACAGAAUUCUCCAUGUGGGAGGGUCAUUUCUCUUGCUAUGAACAGGAGCAUCUGGCCCUCUGGCCAUUGUCUUCAUCAGGCCCACAGCUCAGAAGAAGAAUUUUCUCCAUAUCGGUUACUAGGACCAGCUGCUCCAGAAAUAAGAUUAUAGAUCAUAUGGAGCACAGUGGCAUCAGCUCUCUCCCAUCUCAGAAAGCUAAAAAUCCCAUCUGAUCUUGACUGCUCUGAAUCAAUAGGGGCAAAGAGGUGUAUAUUUCAGGCAGGAAAGCUCCAAAGCAAAUCUAUGCAAGUCUCUAAGGGCUACUAUUACUUGAAUGAUAACCAAAAGGAAAUAGGCAAAGGAAAAGGAAAUGCAACAGGGCUCAGAGAGGGUUUGCAUGUAUUUGUUUCAUAGACUCACCUGCAUGGCAAGUGCUUUGCACCAUCUAUCGCACUGCUCUCCUAUACAUCCAUUUUUCAUUAUAGAGUUGCCAUUUCUAAACAUGUAAAACUAGAAUGUGCUGGCAUGGUUUAAAUGGUGCUACGAGCACUGCAGAGAGGCACAGCGAUAGCUGUGUGGGAAAUGAGAGAAGAGAGGAAUUCUCCUGAGCAAAGAGCAAUAUCAAGCAAAUGCUGAACUGACAACCUCUGCUGCUGAGACCAAAAUGCUCUGGCAAAAAGCCACCAGCACGUAUAUCCAUACAGCAGUGAACAGCCCCUCAGCGGAGAGCGCGUCGGGAAUGCAUUCAGCACAUAAAGCAUCAGCUGUGUGAAAAACUGCAGACAAGAUAAUCCUGCUGUUUCAUCUAUUGUGGAAAGUUAGGUUUGGAUUUGAAGGGCAACUUUCCAGAGCUUUUCAACUUGUGAGUUCAAAGGCAAAUGGGCGUACACUGGUGCUGUCUCACACCUCUCUCAGGUCAAGGAUUCAAGACAACUGAGAGGGAAGUCUCCAGGGCUGGGUUUCUGAAUAUGCUGUUUUCUCUCCACUGCAGUGUGGUGCAAUGUUCAAUGCUACCAAGACACCAACAUUUCAACAUGGCUCUGCUCCGUGCCUGGUAUGCCCUGUGAGCUCCCAUUUGGUCUUGGCAUUAAUUGUAUGGCCCUCGUGGUGGUUUGGGGAAAAUCUCUUUAUCAGUGCCCUGAUGGAAUAAAGAUCGUGUGUAGCCUGAAGAAAAGAAAGUAAGGAAAAAAAAUGGGUUAGAGGUGACACUGGAGACUUGUUUGCCAGGAUUUAAUACAUAUUGGAUAAUUGGCAGCUGGCUUUCCAUUGCCAGAUUUUCCAUCUCAAAUCUUUUUAUUUCCUUAGGCAACAUUUACUCCUGCUUUUUAAACAAAGCACUCUCAGAGACAGAAAAUCACAGUGCAGACUGACUGCCUGCGUUCAGACAGCUCUCCAAACCUCCUAAAUGCAUUAAACCACCCUUCUAAGUAGCUCUUUGUGAUUUCAGUGGAAAUAAGGAUGCUGCUCUACCAGGAAGCUUUAGUGAAAACAUGAUCAUUCACAAGAGCUGCUCAGUAUUUCUGGGCUGAAAUUAUCCACAACAGUAUUUUUGUAAUUCCAUUUUUAAUCUCUCAUAGUGGGAGGAGGAGAUGUUGUUCCAGCUCACCAUCUAACAUGGUAAUAUAUUUUUCCAGUGUUGAGAAGCAGUUAAUGAAACACAAGAAGCUGAGGCCAACUCUAAAUCUCAGCAUCACAGAAGGAUGCUACUGGUGUGGGACUGGGACAUGGUCAAACCAUUGCUGUCUGCAUAGACCCACAGCCUGUUUUUAACACUGCCAGACUCCUCAGCAGUAGCACAUGUUGGAUUUAUCAGCCCUUAUGAGAUAUGGCACUGCAGAAAUUGGUCUGAGACUGCUGGACUAUUUACUACUGCUAUACCAGAAUAAUUCUUAUGCUUAUUCCCUGUUCUGAAUACAUCCAAAACUGAACCUCCCAGGUGAAGUUGCACUGAUUUAAAUCCAGCCAUAAAUCUGUUGCCCCUUACUGAGCCACUCAUUUCUUUUGUACUAUUUUUGAAGGGCAGGGAACAAGAAUCUAUCGGUGCAGAGAAAAUGAAAGCAGAUUUCCAAACUCCUCAGCAAGAGAGAAAAAUAUUUUCACACAUUUGUCCUUUGUCCAUGCACCAAGCAAAUCUCCAGACAUUUCACACUGCGCCAUCCCCUCAUCUGGCUCUGUUUUCUGUUUGGUUUUCUCUCUCAAUGGUUUCUUGUUUCUCCCCUGUCUUCUCUUAAAUUUUCUCCCCAGUCUCUUGCAUAAGGAUGAGAAGGAGCCUGGUUUACUUAUUCCCUCCUAAGCGGCGAAAGCAAACAAAACAAAGCCAAGUCCCCAUGCAUCCCAGUGAUCAGAAUGUUCCAUCAGUGCACCUGGCUCCGAUGUCUGCCUCACACUCUAUCCUUGGGCUGCUGCAUUCAGAGCUGAUUUUUUUCUCCUUUGGGACAUAGGGAGGAGAAAUAAUUCCCCAGCAUGAUGAUGGCCAGAUUUUGGAAAGCCUUCCUGAGUCAUUUUAAACUUGUUUUAGGCUACCACACUUUUCACAUUAAGGUUUUUUUUUUGGUAAUUCCCUUCCGUGAAUAGGAGUCUGUGUCAUCCAGUGCUCCACUUCUUCACAGCUUCCAUUCUCUCAGCCUUUGGACAAUGAAAAUAAUAGGCUUUUGGUAACCAGCAUGUAGAAAUCUCUACAUUCAUUUUGCUGGUUUAUGGCAAUAGAAAAGAGGUUUUCAUACUGUAAGUGUGCUAAAAUAUUCUGAUUAGCCUGAACAGCGGUAGGAGGAGAUAAGAUAAGCUCUCAAUGUAUUUCAGAAGUAAACAGCAACGUGUUAAAUUGGUUUAACAACUUUUGGAUGAGUUUAAAUGAGGCGUCUUUUUUUUUUUUUUUCUAAAUAACAUACCAAGAAAAAAGUAGCCCUUUGGUUUUUUAAUGACACAUUCACUUAUAUCACUUAAUGUUCCAUCCUACUUCAUCUACAGGCAUUGCUGUGCAAAAUGUUGGCAUGAUUGCAAUCUAAAUUAAAUAACUACUUCGUUAGCCAUUCUGCUGAUAAGCUGAUUUUAAGAAUGCAGAUUUUAAUGAUGAAAUUCUCAGCUGGGCACCACAACAGCAAAGUUUUUUCUGUAGCUCCAAGCGUGGUGACUCAUGACUACAUAUUAGUGACAAUAAUGUUCAGAUCACCCAGAUCGCAGUAGUUUUUCUCAAGGUAGAUCAUCUGGGGAUGUUUGGAUCUUCAAUCCCUGAACCAUUUACUCCAGGGCUUUGGACACUGAAGACAGCAGAUGGAAUGACAUCGCUUAUUUUGUCCACUUCUUCCAGUUAUCAGCCUUUCUUUAGAUUAAUCGUCUCAUUCCAGAGCUAGGCAAGCAUUUCUGCAAAGCUACUGAGAAGGUUGCCUCAGUGGGCCAUAGGGGUGGGCUGGGACUUGGGUUUCACUGUGGGUAUUGCAGAACCAGAGCAGGUUGAACCCCACAUCCAGGCACACACUGCCCACAUCCUCUGGUUUCUGUGGUGUGCAAUGAACAAAACAAACCUCCACAACACAGACACACCGGGUUAGAGAUGCCCCUGCGUGAGGGUGUGUGAGGGAACUGUGUGUGGGUACUGAGAAUUGCCAAGAUCUCUCCUGAGGAGAUACGUGGUCUGAAUAUUUUCCUCAACCAUCGUUUUACAGAGCAAGCCAGAGUUUUUAAGGAAUAUUGAAGUCGGGAGAAAGUAAUCUUGUUAUUUAUUUAUUUACUUAUUUAUUCUUGGGGUAUAGGCUGAUAAGAAAGCAAUUGGAUGAAUAACUGUAUUUUCCCCUGUUUUCCCUUAAAUGUCUGUUAGAAGAUAGGAGUUUUUUUCCAUGCCUUUUAGGAGACUAUUUCACAGAGAUUUUGUCCUGUUUAUGAGCUCAGGCUUUCGCUUCUGUCAUUUCUAUCAUGCUUCCCUCAGCAUCACAUUUUGUUACACACAAAAUAAUUCUUUUCUCUCUGCCUGAACAUAGUAACCGUAGCUCUAGUCAUUACUCAGUGAAGCUAUAUAUACUUAGUUCAUCAUCUUUCCUCAUAAAUCAAUCUUUUCAACCCCGAAAUCAUUUUAGCUGCUCUUUGAAUUGUCUCCAGCUUGUCUGUUUUUGCCUGGUAAUGAUGUGGCCCAGAACUGAAUGCUGCAUUCAGGGUAGGCUGCCACCAAAGUAAUGGGAGCCAGGAUGAUUUCCACUAUCUGCCGUUUGACACAAAACUUAUUGCGAAUAUAUUGCAAGAAAAGGUCUGCUCUUACAAAUGUAGCAGAGCUGGAAACAAACCAGAGGCUGAUUCACCUCAGUUCCCUCCAGCUGUCCUGAGCUGCGCUGAUCCCAGCAGGGCAGAUGGAUGGGGCAUCUCCCUACAGCAAUGCACACAUUUUUCUGCAGGGAUUGGGAGGCCAGGGGGUCCCUGCCUGUUGCAGACUCUGCUUGCACCAGGACAGUGCGUGUGCAAUUAUGUUGGUUGCUCCAAAAGUAAUGCUUCCUAAUUAUUUCUGUGGAAACUACAGCAGUUACAAAGAGCACAAUAACACUAUCUGACAGAGCAAAUUCUCAGCUUAAAAAAACCACAAUUUUUCAACAUAGUCACUUAUGAACCUAUCCCUGUUUUGUUGUCUGCGUUAACAGGGUGUUAUGUCACUGUUUGCAA